AGGGUGCAAGCGUUAAUCGGAAUUACUGGGCGUAAAGCGCACGUAGGCGGUUUUUUAAGUCAGAUGUGAAAGCCCCGGGCUCAACCUGGGAAUUGCAUUUGAAACUGGAAAACUAGAGUGUGUGAGAGGGGGGUAGAAUUCCAAGUGUAGCGGUGAAAUGCGUAGAGAUUUGGAGGAAUACCAGUGGCGAAGGCGGCCCCCUGGCACAACACUGACGCUCAGGUGCGAAAGCGUGGGGAGCAAACAGGAUUAGAUACCCUGGUAGUCCACGCCGUAAACGAUGUCUACUAGCUGUUCGUGACCUUGUGUCGUGAGUAGCGCAGCUAACGCAUUAAGUAGACCGCCUGGGGAGUACGGUCGCAAGAUUAAAACUCAAAUGAAUUGACGGGGGCCCGCACAAGCGGUGGAGCAUGUGGUUUAAUUCGACGCAACGCGAAGAACCUUACCUACUCUUGACAUCUACAGAAGACUGCAGAGAUGCGGUUGUGCCUUCGGGAACUGUAAGACAGGUGCUGCAUGGCUGUCGUCAGCUCGUGUUGUGAAAUGUUGGGUUAAGUCCCGCAACGAGCGCAACCCUUAUCCUUAGUUGCCAGCACGUUAUGGUGGGAACUCUAGGGAGACUGCCGGUGAUAAACCGGAGGAAGGUGGGGACGACGUCAAGUCAUCAUGGCCCUUACGAGUAGGGCUACACACGUGCUACAAUGGUAUGUACAGAGGGAGGCAAGCCUGCGAGGGUGAGCGGAUCUCUUAAAGCAUAUCGUAGUCCGGAUCGCAGUCUGCAACUCGACUGCGUGAAGUCGGAAUCGCUAGUAAUCGCAAAUCAGAAUGUUGCGGUGAAUACGUUCCCGGGCCUUGUACACACCGCCCGUCACACCAUGGGAG
rnacentral:rRNA from 1 species